AACUCGAAGUAGGUACGUAAGUUCCAGAAGUAAAGUGAAAACAUGUAAAUUAACCUGACGUUUUUAUUGGUGUUUUUUCGGGCGCUAAAUAAAACUAUUAAUGGGAAAAGUGGCAAUUUGUCAAGACGACUGAAGUUACAUAUUAAUUAAACGUAAGAAGUACCAAUUAAGAUCUGCUUAUUGAGUGAUUGCGUUAUGAAAUUGGCAGCCUAUGAUAAAAUGCGACCUUAAGAAAUUCGCGCCAAACCAAACGUUUUAAUUAGAUUAAUCCCUAAUUGCUUCGGUAGUCGAACGUUACGGUUUCAGUGAUUUAGCAGACAUGGACGAACUUAAUUAUUUAAUAACCGAGCAUCUGAAAUGCAGCAAAAUUUACGAAGAGAACGCGCCUUGGGUAAUCAAAAAUUCGAACAUUGGCGGUCGAGGUUUAUUUGCCAAUCGCGAUAUUGAAAUAGGUGAGGUAAUAUAUCGGGAUAAUGCAAUUAUAUUAGGCCCUCGAUCGAGUAUGCUGUGUCCCAUGGUGUGCGUAAGUUGUUAUUCCCAAGAGAAUUUGUAUCCGUGCUCGAGAAACUGUGGACUACCAAUUUGUUCGGAAAAAUGCGAAAACUCCGACGUGCACUUUCAAGAAUGUCAGCUCUUGGUCGGUUGGAAGAGGGAGUGCCUUUACCAGGAAAUAAAUUCAUCCUUGAUGAAGUGUUUAACACCGAUACGCUCCCUUCUAUUAGCCGACAAUAAAAAAUUACUCUUAAACCUUCUUAAAUCCCACCAUGGCGCUCAACACGGUUACGAGGUAGAUAUCUUAAAAGGGAAGCUGGGAUUAAACUUCAAGGAGGAGGAAGAAAAUCUUAUGAGAUUAACUUGUACGGUAUUAGACGCAAAUUCGUUUGAAGUUACCGUCGGAAAUGAAGAAGGUCGAAGUGGCUUAAGGGGUUUAUAUCCCCUAAGUAGUUUAAUGAAUCAUUCGUGCUCGCCGAACACCAUGCAUAAUUUUGAUAAGCACCGAAAUAUGAUCGUUAAGGCUGCCGUAUUUAUCGAAAAGGGUCAGGAAUUAUUCCAUUCCUACACGCGGCUUAUUUGGGGCACUCCGGUAAGACGCACUCACUUGGAGAGAACAAAACAUUUUUUCUGUACGUGCUCGAGAUGUAACGACCCGACAGAAUUUGGAACGAAUAUAAGUGGAAUUGUUUGCCAAAAGUGUGGCGACGUCGCAUUGCCGUUGUAUGAUAGUGAAAGUCAUGUCGAAUGGAAAUGUGCGACUUGUAAAUUUGUAUUAUCAAACGAUAAAGUUUGCCUUCUUUUUCGCGUGCUGGGAAGCAGAGUGAGCCAGUUUGACGAGUGCGAUGACGUCGAAGAAAUUUUGAAGUUUUUAAAGCGCCAGAUUCGAAAUUAUCUCCCUCCCAGCAAUCAAAUUUCGAUUGAACUAAAAUACAGAUUAGUAUGGAUAUUGGGACAUAAUCCAAAAUACCUAUGGAACGACCUCUCCGACGAUUUGCUGAAGGAAAAAGAAGAGAUAUGCCGCGAACUACUGAAGUUACUUGAAAUGUUGAGAGCGGGGCAAAGCAAAAUGCGUGGGCUAAUUUUAUACGAAUUGUACCGCUGCAUGCAGGAAUGGAAAAGGCGUUACCGUCUCGCGGAUGACCACAGAGCACUGUUGGAAGAAGCAAAGGAAAUUUUGAAAGAUGACGUUAACGCUCCCAAGGAAAUACAAAAUGGUAUGGAGAUUAAUAGUAAUAUGGAAAAUGGGUUUUAAUCCUCAGUUUACCGUUACUUGAUCUAAUUUUCAAUCGUAUACCGAAUUUAAUAUCAAAUUAAAUCGAAUUACUGCAUGGAUACAUAGACACGUUCAUGACGAAUAUACCAAACAAUUUAUAAAUAAUAUAGUAUGAUUUUCAAAGGUGACAGAGAAAUUAAUGUUAUAAUUAAUUUUUGAAUUUGGAAGAGAGAAGGUGUUUACCGGAGGUGUUCUACAUUUAAUUUUUUAAGGUACGUUUGGUUUGAUGCAAAAAUCUCGAUGAAAGCAAUUCAGUUUUUCAUACAUUUUUUUAAUAUGGCUUUAGUGUGUAUUUUAAAUAAAUUGUAGAUACAUACAUAGUACCUAAGUUAAAAUUACAUACAUUUUUCUUAUAUAAGGCAUCAGUAGCCUAAACUAAUAAAUCAUUGGCCCACUU